UGCUUAGAUCUUUAGACAGAAAAGAUAAAAGCAAAUAAAUGACUAUUUGUAAUGUGUAGCUAAAGAAUUUGACUGAAUGUGGUGGUGGUUGGUGGUUUUGUUUACAUUUCGAUUGAACCAUUUUUGUGGACAUAAAUUAUGUUGAAAAUUUAGUUAUAAGCUGACCUGUGUAUACAUAUGUACAUCCAAAGUUGCAUUUAUUUAAAGUGAUUUACCAGGCAACAAGAAAGAACUUUGUAAUCGCGAAUGUUUGGGUGUCUUCAUCACUGCAAUAAAGUUAUUGUCAAAGGCGAUAUGCCAAGUGGGGAAGAGGCUUUGUCGAGUGAACACAACAUGUGAAAUAUCUUAAUUUAAAGCGUCAGAAAAGGAUUUAAAAAUUUACAAAGACGUUUUAGCAAAGUAAUUUGAAUUUUAUGAGGUAGACGUUUAGAAGUAACUCAAUCCUUGGUUAAAAGCAGGAUUUGUGUUGCAAGGAAUUGCACCCAUGCUGGUUGAGUGCAUAAAUAUGCCACUUUGUGUAACUUUUGUUUUUUAAGGCAUGGUUGCACAUUUUUACGUCUCGAAACUCUCGUCAUUCAAGCAGAAUGAAAAAGGGAAAUUAGCUGAAAGGGUCGUCACAU